UGGGGAACCUGCCCCAUAGUCUGGGAUACCACUUGGAAACAGGUGCUAAUACCGGAUAAGAAAGCAGAUCGCAUGAUCAGCUUUUAAAAGGCGGCGUAAGCUGUAGCUAUGGGAUGGCCCCGCGGUGCAUUAGCUAGUUGGUAAGGUAAAGGCUUACCAAGGCGAUGAUGCAUAGCCGAGUUGAGAGACUGAUCGGCCACAUUGGGACUGAGACACGGCCCAAACUCCUACGGGAGGCAGCAGAU
rnacentral:rRNA from 1 species